rnacentral:pre_miRNA from 1 species
AGAGAUGAGAGAUAUGUUGACAGAAGAGAGAGAGCACAACCCAUCAUCAGCUAAAGAGAGUCUUUUCUUUUGUUGGGAGUGUGCUCUUUGCUCUUCUGUCAUCAUCACCAAAUCUCUCUCUCUCU